GAUGAACGCUGGCGGCGUGCCUAAUACAUGCAAGUCGAACGCGCAGCGAAAGGUGCUUGCACCUUUCAAGCGAGUGGCGAACGGGUGAGUAACACGUGGAUAACCUGCCUCAAGGCUGGGGAUAACAUUUGGAAACAGAUGCUAAUACCGAAUAAAACUUAGUAUCGCAUGAUACAAAGUUAAAAGGCGCUACGGCGUCACCUAGAGAUGGAUCCGCGGUGCAUUAGUUAGUUGGUGGGGUAAAGGCUUACCAAGACGAUGAUGCAUAGCCGAUUUGAGAGACGGAUCGGCCACAUUGGGACUGAGACACGGCCCAAACUCCGACGGGAGGCUGCAGUAGGGAAUCUUCCACAAUGGGCGCAAGCCUGAUGGAGCAACGCCGCGUGUGUGAUGAAGGCUUUCGGGUCGUAAAGCACUGUUGUAUGGGAAGAAAUGCUAAAAUAGGGAAUGAUUUUAGUUUGACGGUACCAUACCAGAAAGGGACGGCUAAAUACGUGCCAGCCGCCGCGGUAA
rnacentral:rRNA from 1 species